GCAAAAGGCCGUCUGAGGACAUGGGGGCCAAGGACUAUAGGGUUCUGCUCUGUUUCAAAACUGGUUUCGUCAGGUGGCUCCUGGCAACACAGAGUUCUCGCAAGCAGAAAAAACACCGUUCUUGGCAGGACCAUGGAGAGCGAACUCCAGCAUUGUUUCCGCUUCUCGCAGAAUUUUAAAGAAUAGAUGACAUCACCAUCUUCACACCCUCCUAGCACUCAUGAUGUAGCACUCACUAUAUGGGUAGCACUGUUGUAGUCUGACCCUCACUGUGACCCCGUAAUAUUUAGCAGAAAACUCAUGACAGAGGUUGACAUUUCUCAGGCUCCCAGAGUUAUCACGCAGCAAAUCCAUGUUCGAACCUGAGAUCCCAUGAUUCCACUCUCCUUGGUCCUAACUGCUGGACUAAUUUUCUUUUCAUCAUCCCUCACUCGGUAGUAGAUAAUGCCCUUGUCAUUAAAUAAAUGAAUGUUGAGAACAGAGCAUCAAUGGGAUUGCAAAUAGCAAUGUUCUAACCACCAGAGCCUUGUAGGACAGGAAUCGCUGCAUUGAAUUGAGACCAAACAUGAUCACUCAUUAGGGAGAUAAUAAGCAGAAAUGAAGAGGAAAAAAAAUGUCUCACUAAAAGAGAAACAAAAGCCUUCAGCUCCUAAUCUCAGUAAGAAAGCUGGGAUUUAAGUUGGUUUAAAGUGCUCAGCAGCACAUGAGUCAUACGUUGCUUGAGGCAGUCAUCCUUCUGUCUGAUGCAUUUCAAGCAAAAAGGCGCAGCUCACAUAGACAUGGAGGGAAGUUGAUGCUCUUUUAUUGCAUUAUAUUACAGCAGGUAGAUCUUACAUCAUGCACGGGCGCUGUGUCGCUUCAGUCGUGUCCGAUGCUUUGCGACCCUUAGACUGUAGCCCACCAAGCUCCUCGGUCCGUGGGGUUUUCCAGACAAGAAUACUGGAGUGGGUUGCCAUUCCCUUCUCCAGCAGAUCUUCCUGACCCAGGGAUCAAACCUGUGUCUCUUGCGGCUCCUGCAUGACAGGCAGAUUGUUUACCACUGAGUUUCCUGGGAAGCGCACGUUACGACUGCCACAAUCAUUCAAUACAAGGAAACGAAUCAUCGUUCAAUGAUUGGAUGAGGAGUGCCUUUGGCAAAGAACCAAGGGGCGUGGAGAACAGACCCGACACUUACCAGCCACCUUGAAUGUGGAAACGAGAGCCCUGCUUCCAGCCAGACACCCUGCCGAGUGUGUUCCGGGACAGCGGCCUGAAUUCCCCUCCGGAUAGAAUGGUGAGCAGGUGGAUAUCUUCAACGUCCUGUGUUUGCUGAAAUAGCAGCAAGGUCUCUCUUCCUGAGAAGCGGAGACGGAAGGUGGGAGCUACACGGUUAAUGCAGAAAGCGCUGGCUCAGCCAAAGGGACCGCAAUAGGCCCUUGGAACAGAUAGUUGAUUCCCGACCAAGACAUUUGUUAUCGCAGACAGGAUCUGAGCACAGACCAGGAGAGCUUCUGAGUAAUGAAAGGAGUUUGGGGACACCCGUGAAGCGUGCACACAUGCACAGAUAAACACACACACAGGCACAUGCAGACAUGGAAACACAUACGUGUAUGCACACACUCCUACAUACACGUGGAGAAGGCAUGGCAACCAUCUCCAGUGUCCUUGCUUGAGAAAUCCCAUGGACAGAGGAGCCUGGUGGGCUACAGUCCAUAGGGCCGUGAAGAGUCAGACACGACUUAGCAAAUAACCCUUUCACCCACUUUCACGUCACCUGACUUUGUCUAAAGGCCAAAGUAAUAUCGUAUUAUCUUGCUUGACUUUUCC
ensembl:lncRNA